rnacentral:rRNA from 1 species
GGACUACCGGGGUUUCUAAUCCUGUUUGCUCCCCACGCUUUCGCGCCUCAGCGUCAGUAAAGGACCAGGUCGCCGCCUUCGCCACCGGUGUUCUUCCCAAUAUCUACGAAUUUCACCUCUACACUGGGAAUUCCACGACCCUCUUCCCUACUCAAGCCAACACGUAUCCAAUGCAGCCCCCAGGUUAAGCCCAGGAAUUUCACAUCAGACGGUGUCCGCCGCCUACGCGCCCUUUACGCCCAGUCAUUCCGAGCAACGCUAGCCCCCUUCGUAUUACCGCGGCGGCUGGCAC